CAUAACUUCUCCUCUGAGAGUGAGCUCCUCUCCCUCACCAUCACAGCCUCUCCUCUGCCAGCCUUCAUCAUCAGACACGUUGUAGUGCUGCUGAUCCUACUGACAGCCAUCACCACCUUAUACCUGUACUACAAGCCCACCAGGAGGCAGAAGAGAGUGAACAGGGUGAGCAGCAUGGAUCUUUAUGCCAAUGC